rnacentral:piRNA from 1 species
UAGGAAAAAGGAUGGCUUAAUGGUCCUAAC